rnacentral:rRNA from 1 species
UACGAUACGAGUUUGAUCCUGGCUCAGAACGGACGCUGGCGGCAGGCCUAACACAUGCAAGUCGAGCGCCCCGCAAGGGGAGCGGCGGACGGGUGAGUAACGCGUGGGAACGUGCCUCUUGCUACGGAAUAGCCUCGGGAAACUGGGAGUAAUACCGUAUGUGCCCUACGGGGGAAAGAUUUAUCGGCAAGAGAUCGGCCCGCGUUGGAUUAGGUAGUUGGUGGGGUAAUGGCCUACCAAGCCGACGAUCCAUAGCUGGUUUGAGAGGAUGAUCAGCCACACUGGGACUGAGACACGGCCCAGACUCCUACGGGAGGCAGCAGUGGGGGAAUCUUAGACAAUGGGCGCAAGCCUGAUCUAGCCAUGCCGCGUGAGCGAUGAAGGCCUUAGGGUUGUAAAGCUCUUUCAGUGGGGAAGAUAAUGACUGUACCCACAGAAGAAGCCCCGGCUAACUCCGUG